AUGAAGGCAAAACCUUUCUGGGUGAUCUACUCAAUACCUUAUGAAUUGCAUGGUGUUUCCCCUCCGGCUGGUGAGAGCACCAGCUCGUCCUGUGCGACCUCUGAAGAUUGUUCCCGUAUCUCCUCUGGGAGGUUCCUUCGCAGUUGGGGUGAUUUCCUCCAGGUCUCUGGGGUUCCCUCUCCCUGUGCUCUCCUCCUUGGUAUCCUGCUCUGCAAUCUUAGCUUUUUCUUUCUUUCUUUCUUCUUCUUUUUUUUUUUUUUUUUUUUUUUGAGAUGGAGCGUCGCUCUUUUUGCCCAGACUGGAGUGUGAUGGCACAGUCUCGGCUCACCGCAACCUCCACCUCCCGGGUUCAAGCAAUUCUCCUGCCUCAGCCUCCCGAAGAGCUGGAAUCACAGGCGUGCGCCACCACACCAGGCUAAUUUUGUAUUUUCGGUAGAGACGGGGUUUCUCCAUGUUGGUCAGGCUGAUUUCAAACUCCCGACCUCAGGUGAUCCGCCUGCCUCAGCCUCCCAAAGUACUGGGAUUACAGGCGUGAGCCACCGUGCCUGGCACUAGAUGUUUUCAAAUGAGAACUCACUGGAUUUGUUGGUGGUGGGGCAUGCGGUGUGUGGGAAGGAACAGAGGUGAAGCCUGCAGCCAGAGUGUCUGAAGAGUGGGUCUUCCAUUCGCCAAGCCGGGGGAAAUCCCAAGAAACCAGCAGGCCUGGCGGGUGAGAACACGUGAGGCUUUCAAUGGGGUCGUCCAAGUGGCAACGUCGAAUAGAGAAUUCGAUUCCCGAGUUUAGCUCAGAAAGAGGUCCAGGCUGGAUUAAACACUUGGGAGUCAGUGAAUACAUGGAAUUUAAAGUCCCGGGAAUGAAUCAGUUCCCUGGGCCUGAGCAUGACCAGAAACCAGGCUAAAAGAAGACCGAGUGAAGGUGGCAUCGCCAACUGGGAGAAGGGGGGGGGCUCAAAAAAUGGCAAUGGGGCAACUAUUUAACAGCUGGGGGAAAAAGAGUUUGUUUCCUGCACCUCACACCAGAAUAAAUUCCCAACAGAUCAAACA
rnacentral:lncRNA from 13 species